UACGUAGGGUGCGAGCGUUGUCCGGAAUUAUUGGGCGUAAAGAGCUCGUAGGCGGUUCGUCGCGUCGGCCGUGAAAUCCCGAGGCUCAACCUCGGGUCUGCAGUCGAUACGGGCGGACUGGAGUUCGGCAGGGGAGACUGGAAUUCCUGGUGUAGCGGUGAAAUGCGCAGAUAUCAGGAGGAACACCGGUGGCGAAGGCGGGUCUCUGGGCCGAUACUGACGCUGAGGAGCGAAAGCGUGGGGAGCGAACAGG
rnacentral:rRNA from 1 species